rnacentral:piRNA from 1 species
UGUAUGAACAGUUUGUUUGGUGCAGGUA